GCCGGCGUAGCAUAGUAUGGUAGUGCGAUCGAUUCGUAAUCGAUAGGUUGCGGGUUCAAAUCCCGUCGCCGGCU
rfam:Candidatus Xiphinematobacter sp. Idaho Grape, complete genome.